AAAUUAUUUCAAUUUUCUUUCACAAUACUAUUACACUAUAAUUAAAAUUAUUUUUUCUUUAUUAAAUACUAAAACAAAUCUUUAUAUAAUUAUUUUUAAUAAUUUAAAAUUUAAAAAUAUAAACUUAAUAAAUAAAAUAUAAUCAAUUUAUAUUGAUUUGCACAAAAAUCUUUUCAAUGUAAAUGAAAUGCUUUACUUAAUAAGCUUUAAAUUGCAUUCUAGGUACACUUUCCAGUACAUCUACUAUGUUACGACUUAUCUUACCUUAAUAGUAAGAGUGACGGGCGAUGUGUGCAUAUUUUAGAGCUAAAAUCAAAUUAUUAAUCUUUAUAAUUUUACUAUCAAAUCCACCUUCAAUAAAUAUUUCAAAUUUAUAUUCGUAUAAAUAAAUUUAUUGUAACCCAUUUCUACUUAAAUAUAAGCUACACCUUGAUCUGAUAUAUUUUCAUUUAAAAAAUUUUGAAAAUUAACAUUCUUAUAAAAUAUUCUAAUAACGACGGUAUAUAAACUGAUUACAAACUUAAGUAAGGUCCAUCGUGGAUUAUCGAUUAUAAAACAGGUUCCUCUGAAUAGACUAAAAUACCGCCAAAUUUUUUAAGUUUCAAGAACAUAACUA
rnacentral:rRNA from 1 species